rnacentral:tRNA from 1 species
GCAUUGGUGGUUCUGUGGUAGAAUUCUCACCUUUUUAUGUGGAAAACCUGGAUUCGAUUCCUGGCCGAGGCA